rnacentral:rRNA from 1 species
CACGUAGGGUGCGAGCGUUGUCCGGAAUUAUUGGGCGUAAAGAGCUCGUAGGCGGUGUGUCGCGUCGGCCGUGAAAACCUGUGGCUUAACUAUGGGCUUGCGGUCGAUACGAGCAUCACUGGAGUUCGGCAGGGGAGACUGGAAUUCCUGGUGUAGCGGUGAAAUGCGCAGAUAUCAGGAGGAACACCGGUGGCGAAGGCGGGUCUCUGGGCCGAUACUGACGCUGAGGAGCGAAAGCGUGGGGAGCGAACAGG